rnacentral:rRNA from 1 species
GAGUUUGAUCCUGGCUCAGAUUGAACGCUGGCGGCAGGCCUAACACAUGCAAGUCGAGCGGAAGGUUCUUCGGGACCGAGAGCGGCGGACGGGUGAGGAACACGUGGGAAUCUGCCUGUAGAUGGGGGAUAGCCCGGAGAAAUCCGGAUUAAUACCGCAUAAUACCUGAGGUUAAAGUGGAGGAUCGCAAGACGUUCACGUCUACAGAUGAGCCCACGUCAGAUUAGCUAGUUGG